rfam:Alpha proteobacterium symbiont of Oscarella lobularis scaffold2, whole genome shotgun sequence.
CUGCCCCCACAACGGCUUCCUGACGUGGCGGGCUUUAAUCCAAUGGAGCG